rnacentral:rRNA from 1 species
AACUUAAAGGAAGUUGACGGGGGAGCACCACAACGGGUGGAGCUUGCGGUUUAAUUGGAUUCAACGCCGGAAAUCUUACCGGGACCGACAGCAAUAUGAAGGUCAGGCUGAAGACCUUACCGGAUUAGCUGAGAGGUGGUGCAUGGCCGUCGUCAGUUCGUACUGUGAGGCAUCCUGUUAAGUCAGGCAACGAGCGAGACCCACGUCCACAGUUGCCAGCAUACCCUCCGGGGUGAUGGGUACACUGUGGAGACCGCCGCUGCUAAAGCGGAGGAAGGAAUGGGCAACGGUAGGUCAGUAUGCCCCGAAUCUCCCGGGCUACACGCGGGCUACAAUGGUUGGUACAAUGGGCAUCUACCCCGAAAGGGGAAGGAAAUCUCUUAAAGCCAAUCGUAGUUCGGAUUGAGGGCUGCAACUCGCCCUCAUGAAGCUGGAAUCCGUAGUAAUCGCGUUUCAACAGAACGCGGUGAAUACGUCCCUGCUCCUU